rnacentral:lncRNA from 1 species
UCCCGAUAGAUAAAGAUCAUUCUCACCAUUGCAAAAACUGAUGGAAAAUCCCAAAUAUCCCAAGCAGUCAAAGACUUGUCAUUGGUGUGUGAUCCAAUAAUCUCCUUAGCUUGAGUUCAAGCUCUUUCCAAAAUAAAUUUUAGCGGGUGCUUGCAAUCUUCGAAGACCUAGAUAUUUCUUAUCAACCAAAUGUGACAAACAAUAUACGCCCCC